rnacentral:rRNA from 1 species
CAGCAGCCGCGGGAAAACGUAGGUGGCAAGCGUUGUCCGGAAUUAUUGGGCGUAAAGCGCGCGCAGGCGGUUUCUUUAGUCUGAUGUGAAAGCCCCCGGCUUAACCGGGGAGGGUCAUUGGAAACUGGGAGACUUAGAGUGCAGAAGAGGAGAGUGGAAUUCCAUGUGUAGCGGUGAAAUGCGUAGAUAUAUGGAGGAACACCAGUGGCGAAGGCGACUCUCUGGUCUGUAACUGACGCUGUGGCGCGAAAGCGUGGGGAGCAAACAGGAUUAGAUACCCCCGUAGUCCCUGUCUCUUAUA